rnacentral:rRNA from 1 species
ACGGGUGAGGAACACGUAGGAACUUGCCCAGAAGUGGGGGAUAACUAAGGGAAACUUUAGCUAAUACCGCAUAAACUCGAGAGAGAAAAGGUGCCCGCAAGGGUGUCGCUUUUGGAGAGGCCUGCGUCCGAUUAGCUAGUUGGUGAGGUAAUGGCUCACCAAGGCAAUGAUCGGUAACUGGUCUGAGAGGACGACCAGUCACACUGGGACUGAGACACGGCCCAGACUCCUACGGGAGGCAGCAGUGGGGAAUAUUGGACAAUGGGGGCAACCCUGAUCCAGCGAUGCCGCGUGGGUGAAGAAGGCCUUCGGGUUGUAAAGCCCUUUAGGUUGGGAAGAAGCUUGGUGGCCGAAUAAGCCAUUAAGUUGACGGUACCGACAGAAUAAGCACCGGCAAACUCUGUGCCAGCAGCCGCGGUAAUACAGAGGGUGCGAGCGUUAAUCGGAUUUACUGGGCGUAAAGGGCGCGUAGGCGGUGAUAUGUGUGAUAUGUGAAAGCCCCGGGCUUAACCUGGGAAGUGCAUGUCAAACUAUAUGACUGGAGUAUAAGAGAGGGUGGCGGAAUUUUCCGGUGU